rnacentral:miRNA from 1 species
UUUGCGACCGUAAUCUAGUG